ensembl:snoRNA SNORD73 Small nucleolar RNA SNORD73
AAUGAAUGAUGACACUUUGUUUCGGUCCCAGAUGAAGAAAUGAUUACUUUAUCCUAAUGCUGACAUU